GCCUGGCAUGGUGGUGCACACCUGUGAUCCCAGCAGCACGGGAGGCUGAGGCAGGAGGAUCGUGUGUUCAAAGGCAGCCUCAGCAAUUUACUGAGGCCCUAAGCAACUCAGCGAGACCCUGCCUCUA
rnacentral:sRNA from 1 species